rnacentral:rRNA from 1 species
UAGGGAAUUUUCCGCAAUGGGCGAAAGCCUGACGGAGCAAUACCGCGUGAGGGAUGACGGCCUAUGGGUUGUAAACCUCUUUUUUCAGGGAGGAAUCAAUGACGUGUACCUGAAGAAUAAGCAUCGGCUAACUCCGUGCCCGCAGCCGCGGUAAGACGGAGGAUGCAAGUGUUAUCCGGAAUCACUGGGCGUAAAGCGUCUGUAGGUGGUCAAAUAAGUCAACUGUUAAAUCUUGAGGCUCAACCUCAAAACCGCAGUCGAAACUAUUAGACUAGAGUAUAGUAGGGGUAAAGGGAAUUUCCAGUGGAGCGGUGAAAUGCGUAGAGAUUGGAAGGAACACCGAUGGCGAAGGCACUUUACUGGGCUAUUACUAACACUCAGAGACGAAAGCUAGGGUAGCA